GUGCCAGCAGCCGCGGUAAUACGGAGGGUGCAAGCGUUAUUCGGAUUUUUUGGGUUUAAAGGGUCCGUAGGCGGAUCUGUAAGUCAGUGGUGAAAUCUCACAGCUUAACUGUGAAACUGCCAUUGAUACUGCAGGUCUUGAGUGUUGUUGAAGUAGC
rnacentral:rRNA from 1 species